UACGUAGGUGGCAAGCGUUGUCCGGAUUUACUGGGCGUAAAGAGCGCGCAGGCGGUCAGAUAAGUCGAAUGUGAAAGCCCCCGGCUCAACUGGGGAGGGUCAUUCGAUACUGAUCGACUCGAAGGCAGGAGAGGGUAGUGGAAUUCCCGGUGUAGUGGUGAAAUGCGUAGAUAUCGGGAGGAACAUCAGUGGCGAAAGCGACUCCUGGACCAAUACUGACGCUCAUGUGCGAAAGCGUGGGGAGCAAACAGG
rnacentral:rRNA from 1 species